rnacentral:lncRNA from 7 species
CUUUUGUAAUGAUUUGGUGAAACAUGUUCCAAGCCUGGAGUGUUGGUCUUACUCAUGUCAGGUUGGAGGGGACAACUGAAAGUUGGCAUUUCUCUUCACUCACCAUGAGGAUACCCUGUUUCCUGACCCAAGUGGGUUCACGUGAGACCAGGUGCUGAUGGUCAUGGGCAGAAGCAGACUAAGCACCUCCCUGUACUAAUCUAGGAGAUUGAUCUUUUCUGCUGCUUGCCAGUAUAAAUAUACCCUUUGUGUCUUGAACCUUACCUUUGUAUUUCACAAAAAAAUCUGAAACUUUUAGAAAGUUUUUGUUCUGUGACCAAGAAAGUCUACUUUGUGAAGAAAAAUACAUGCAGGAUCAAGCUG